ensembl:lncRNA
GGAGGGAGGUAGAGAGGUAGAGAGGGAGGGAGGGAGGGAGGUAGAGAGGGAGGGAGGGAGGUAGAGAGGGAAGGAGGGAGGUAGAGAGGUAGAGAGAUAGGGAGGGAGAGAGGUAGAGAGGGAGGGAGAGAGGGAGGUAGAGAGGUAGAGAGGGAGGUAGAGAGGGAGGGAGAGAGGUAGAGAGGGAGGUAGAGAGGGAAGGAGGGAGGUAGAGAGGGAGGGAGGUAGAGAGGGAGAGAGAUAGGGAGGGAGAGAGGUAGAGAGGUAGAGAGGGAAGGUAGUAGAAAAGGAGGGAGGGAAUGAGGGAGGUAGAGAGGGAGGGAGGUAGAGAGGUAGAGAGAUAGGGAGGGAGAGAGGUAGAUAGGGAGGUAGAGAGGGAGGGAGGGAGGUAGAGAGGUAGAGAGAUAGGGAGGGAGAGAGGUAGAGAGGGAGGGAGAGAGGGAGGUAGAGAGGUAGAGAGGGAGGUAGAGAGGGAGGGAGAGAGGUAGAGAGGGAGGUAGAGAGGGAAGGAGGGAGGUAGAGAGGGAGGGAGGUAGAGAGGGAGAGAGAUAGGGAGGGAGAGAGGUAGAGAGGGAGGGAGAGAGGGAGGUAGAGAGGGAGGGAGGUAGAGAGGGAGGGAGGUAGAGAGGUAGAGAGGGAGGGAGGGAGGUAGAGAGGGAGGGAGGCAGGUAGAGAGGUAGAGAGGGAGGGAGGUAGAAAAGGAGGGAGGGAGGUAGUGAGAUAGAGAGGGAGGGAGGUAGAGAGGGAGGUAGAGAGAGAGGGAGAUAGAGAGAGAGGUAGAGAGGGAGGGAGGUAGAGAGGGAGGUAGAGAGAGAGGGAGGUAGAGAGAGAGGUAGAGAGGGAGGGAGGUAGAGAGGGAGGUAGAGAGAGAGGGAGGUAGAGAGAGAGGUAGAGAGGGAGGGAGGUAGAGAGGGAGGUAGAGAGAGAGGUAGAGAGGGAGGGAGGUAGAGAGGGAGGUAGAGAGAGAGGGAGGUAGAGAGGGAGGUAGAGAGAGAGGGAGGUAGAGAGGGAAGGAGGGAGGGAGGGAGGUAGAGAGAGAGGGAGGUAGAGAGAGAGGGAGGUAGAGAGAGAGGGAGGUAGAGAGAGAGGGAGGUAGAGAGGGAAGGAGGGAGGGAGGGGUGGUGACCUUUGAACGAGGAACCACUCUGGGGGUAAUGUGAUCCCUUGCCCCUGUCUGAUUGUGUGUGUCUGUGUGUGUGUGUGUGUCUCCGUAUGUGUGUGUGUGUGUGUGUGUGUGUAUGUGUGUCAGAAAGACCCCAUUCCCACUGCUAUUCCCUUUCAGAGGUGAAACAUAAAUAGGUUACAUUAGAGGAUAUCAGACUCCACAAUCAGACUGGGGCAUAAAAGCUCCCAAGAUAGAGACAGAGCGAAAUGGUGGGAGAACUAAACAGACUCUAUCCCUCUCUUUCUCUCUUUAAUACACUGUUAAGAAGAGUGAGAGACAGAGCGGUAGAAAAUAAAAGAAAGGAAAAGGUGGAGUUGAAAUGAGAGAGAAAAGAGAGGGAGAGGGAGAGAGACACUAACUGCUUGCAUCAUCUAAAUAACCUGUUGACCAAUGAACUAAGCAGAACCCGUCUCUCUACUCAUAGAACUAUUCCCUUAUUCUAAAGUACUAUAUAGGGAAUAGGGUGUCAUCUCUCCAUAGGGCCCUGGUCUAAAGUAGUGUACUAUAUAGGGAAUAGGGUGUCAUCUCUCCAUAGGGCCCUGGUCUAAAGUAGUGUACUAUAUAGGGAAUAGGGUGUCAUCUCUCCAUAGGGCCCUGGUCUAAAGUAAUGUACUAUAUAGGGAAUAGGGUGUCAUCUCUCCAUAGGGCCCUGGUCUAAAGUAGUGUACUAUAUAGGGAAUAGGGUGUCAUCUCUCCACAGGACCCUGGUCUAAAGUAGUGUACUAUAUAGGGAAUAGGGUGAUCAUCUCUCCACGGACCCUGGUUUAAAUUCGUGUACUAUAUAGGGAAUAGGGUGUCAUCUCUCCACAGGACCCUGGUCUAAAGUAGUGUACUAUAUAGGGAAUAGGGUGAUCAUCUCUCCACGGACCCUGGUUUAAAUUCGUGUACUAUAUAGGGAAUAGGGUGUCAUCUCUCCAUAGGGCCCUGGUCUAAAGUAGUGUACUAUAUAGGGAAUAGGGUGUCAUCUCUCCACAGGACCCUGGUCUAAAGUAGUGUACUAUAUAGGGAAUAGGGUGAUCAUCUCUCCACGGACCCUGGUCUAAAUUCGUGUACUAUAUAGGGAAUAGGGUGUCAUCUCUCCAUAGGGCCCUGGUCUAAAGUAGUGUACUAUAUAGGGAAUAGGGUGUCAUCUCUCCAUAGGGCCCUGGUCUAAAGUAGUGUACUAUAUAGGGAAUAGGGUGUCAUCUCUCCAUAGGGCCCUGGUCUAAAGUAGUGUACUAUAAAGGGAAUAGGGUCUCAUCUCUCCAUAGGGCCCUGGUAUAAAGUAGUGUACUAUAUAGGGAAUAGGGUGAUCAUCUCUUCAUAGGGUCCUGGUGUAAAGUAGUGUACUAUAUAGGGAAUAGGGUGUCAUCUCUCCAUAGGGUCCUGGUCUAAAGUAGUGUACUAUAUAGGGAAUAGGGUGUCAUCUCUCCAUAGGGCCCUGGUCUAAAGUAGUGUACUAUAUAGGGAAUAGGGUGUCAUCUCUCCAUAGGGCCCUGUUCUAAAGUAGUGUACUAUAUAGGGAAAUAGGGUGUCAUCUCUCCAUAUGGCCCUGGUCUAAAGUAGUGUACUAUAUAGGGAAUAGGGUGUCAUCUCUCCAUAGGGUCCUGGUGUAAAGUAGUGUACUAUAUAGGGAAUAGGGUGUCAUCUCUCCAUAGGGCCCUGGUCUAAAGUAAUGUACUAUAUAGGGAAUAGGGUGUCAUCUCUCCAUAGGGCCCUGGUCUAAAGUAGUGUACUAUAUAGGGAAUAGGGUGUCAUCUCUCCAUAGGGCCCUGGUCUAAAGUAGUGUACUAUAUAGGGAAUAGGGUGUCAUCUCUCCAUAG